rnacentral:rRNA from 1 species
GGAUGCGAUCAUACCAGCACUAAAGCACCGGAUCCCAUCAGAACUCCGAAGUUAAGCGUGCUUGGGCGAGAGUAAUACUAGGAUGGGUGACCUCCUGGGAAGUCCUCGUGUUGCAUUCC